rnacentral:lncRNA from 1 species
GCCGUGUAUAUUUGGGUAUAUGUACAGUUCCAGGGGCCUCAAGCUUCCAGAUGGAGCUGCGGCACCUUUCGGCAGGCCACGCGAUGACAAUUGGGACGUGAGCAAGCCUAUAGCCGUGUAUAUUUGGGUAUAUGUACAGUUCCAGGGGCCUCAAGCUUCCAGAUGGAGCUGCGGCACCUUUCGGCAGGCCACGCGAUGACAAUUGGGACGUGAGCAAGCCUAUAGCCGUGUAUAUUUGGGUAUAUGUACAGUUCCAGGGGCCUCAAGCUUCCAGAUGGAGCUGCGGCACCUUUCGGCAGGCCACGCGAUGACAAUUGGGACGUGAGCAAGCCUAUAGCCGUGUAUAUUUGGGUAUAUGUACAGUUCCAGGGGCCUCAAGCUUCCAGAUGGAGCUGCGGCACCUUUCGGCAGGCCACGCGAUGACAAUUGGGACGUGAGCAAGCCUAUAGCCGUGUAUAUUUGGGUAUAUGUACAGUUCCAGGGGCCUCAAGCUUCCAGAUGUAAGUACGUGCGUAAUCUUCUCAUCACAUUCGCUACAUUUAAAGCUUUUUCUCACUGUAGCGCAUAAUAACCUCACAUCUUCGUAAUGGACCUUAGCAUGGCUACGUUCAUCUGUUUGCAGGGAGCUGCGGCACCUU